rnacentral:rRNA from 1 species
UACGGAGGGUGCGAGCGUUGUCCGGAAUCACUGGGCGUAAAGGGCGCGUAGGCGGCGAGGAUAGUCAACGGUGAAAGCUUGGGGCUCAACCCCGAGUCGGCCGUCGAUACUUCCUUGCUUGAGCACUGUAGAGGCAGAUGGAAUUCCGGGUGUAGCGGUAGAAUGCGUAGAGAUCCGGAAGAACACCGGUGGCGAAGGCGGUCUGCUGGGCAGUAGCUGACGCUGAGGCGCGACAGCGUGGGGAGCAAACAGG